ACUAAUAAUCAACUGACACUGAUGGACGAAAGCGUGGGUAGCGAACAGGAUUAUAUACCCUGGUAGUCCACGCCGUAUACGAUGGUGACUAGCUGUUUGGACUUCUGUCUGAGUGGCUAAGCGAAAGUGAUAAGUAACCCACCUGGGGAGUACGUUCGCACGAAUGAAACUCACAGGAAUUGACGGGGGCCCGCACAAGCGGUGGAGCAUGUGGUUUAAUUCUAUGA
rnacentral:rRNA from 1 species